GAUGAACGCUGGCGGCGUGCCUAAUACAUGCAAGUCGAGCGAACAGACGAGGAGCUUGCUCCUCUGACGUUAGCGGCGGACGGGUGAGUAACACGUGGAUAACCUACCUAUAAGACUGGGAUAACUUCGGGAAACCGGAGCUAAUACCGGAUAAUAUAUUGAACCGCAUGGUUCAAUAGUGAAAGACGGUUUUGCCGUCACUUAUAGAUGGAUCCGCGCCGCAUUAGCUAGUUGGUAAGGUAACGGCUUACCAAGGCAACGAUGCGUAGCCGACCUGAGAGGGUGAUCGGCCACACUGGAAUUGAGACACGGUCCAGACUCCUACGGGAGGCAGCAGUAGGGAAUCUUCCGCAAUGGGCGAAAGCCUGACGGAGCAACGCCGCGUGAGUGAUGAAGGUCUUCGGAUCGUAAAACUCUGUUAUUAGGGAAGAACAAAUGUGUAAGUAACUAUGCACGUCUUGACGGUACCUAAUCAGAAAGCCACGGCUAACUACGUG
rnacentral:rRNA from 1 species